rnacentral:lncRNA from 1 species
UAUAACCUUCUUGUAAGUAACAGCAAUAAUGAAUAAAUUAUUCAUUACUGUUGUAUUAUUUGCAAAUAAGUUAAAAAACUCUAGUCCUUCAUUAAAAUUGAUGAGUUUACCUAAUGCAAUUGAAGGGCACAGGGGUAAAAGGGGCUCAUUGCAAUUUUACUCAAAACUGUGAUAUUUUCAGGAUUGAUAUUUUGAGUAUUUCAUAUGUACUUUUACCUCCCAUAUUCCAAACUAGAUAAAACGUGCUCAUUGAAGAGAAAAUCUGCUUUAAAAAAAAAGCUGUACACGGGUAGAACGAGCUCAUUUAUCGUGUAAACCGAGCAAAAACGGGCUCAUUGUAGAAAUGAGCGCGUUUUUGAAUGCAAUGCGUUUCAACCAUGCUAUUAUUAAAAUUAAUUUGUUCCAAUGUUUAGUAUUAUUGCGUCAGUUGGUCGGUCUGCUAGACGAGAGCGUGCUUGUUUGUUUUCUUUUUUUUUGUUUUAUCCUUAAAACUCAAAAAGUUCUCAUUAUCGAAAGUGGUGAAUACAGCAGUGAUGAAGAACUAAACCUGAAAAAUAGUGUAAUGGAGCCUAGGAGCAAAAAAAGAAAAUCUUACGGCAGAUUAAGGGACGUUAACAAGAAAAUGAGACUCCAAAGUCAUGAAAUGGGCCCUUAUUGCAACUGUUUAAAAAAGUGUUUUGAUGUUGUACCCAGUGAUACAAGAUGUAACAUAUUAAAGCAUUUUAACAUGCUUAGUUCGACUAAUGCUCAAAAUUCAUACCUUAGUGGCUUAAUAUCAGUACUUUCAACGUAAGACAUUGAGAGAAGGUGCUAAGCACUACAGUGCAUCCUUCAAGUACAGGGUGCGAGCUGUGGUAGCAGGUAGCACGGAGGAAUUUGACGUGUGCCGUAAAACAUUUAUUGCUAUACAUGGCAUAUCAAGAAAAAAAGUAGAAAUUUUGGUAGCAAGCUUGAAGGAAACAGGAUAUGCUCCUGAAGAUAAACGAGGUAGGUCCCCAAACCAUUCUAAUAAGCUUCCAGUAGAAACUAUAAGCCUAGUCAGGCAGCAUAUCAAUUCAUUUAAAGGUCGUGGAAGUCAUUAUGGCCUGAAGGACUCUUCUUCAAAAAUAUACCUUUCUGAAGAGCUAAACAUAAAGAAAAUGCAUAAAAUGUUUAAGGAACUUCACCCUGGCAAUAAAAUAUCGUACGAGUCGUACAGGCAGGUGUUUUGCCGUGAUUUCAAUAUCUCCUUUGGUUAUCCACGAACGGAUACUUGUAGCAGCUGUGAUGAGUUCACAAUAAAAAUUAAAAACUUAGAAUCUGAAAAACUGGUGAAAAACUCAUCUGAGGAGAUCUUACGGAUAUCUAGGGAGAUGGAGAGAUUAACUACAGAAAACGAGUUACAUAAGAAAAAAGCGGAACCUUUUUAUAGUAGGAAGAGGAUGGCUAAGAUAAACAGUAAAAAAAAUCUAACAAUUUGUACGGAUUUUGCCAAGAAUCUUCCAGCGCCAAAUAUACCAACAAAUGAUACCUAUUACAAAAGGCAGCUAUCAACAUACGCAUUUAAUGUUCACAUAUUGUCUACCUCUAAGAGCUAUUUUUACGUCUAUCCAGAAACCCAAGGGAAAAAGGGUUCAGAUGAUGAUGUGCUCACUGCUUCAUAACUUCAUAUAUAACCAUCUAGAUCGAGAAGUAAAGCACCUACAAAUAUUUUGUGAUUCAUGCAGUGGCCAACAAAAAAAUUUUACCUUUUUUCGUUUUCUUCAUAACUUAGUCAACAACGAGAAAAAGUUAGAAUCAGCUUCUAUCACGUUCCCCAUCCGAGGACAUUCCUAUAUGGAAUGUGAUAAGAAUUUUGGCCUCGUAAACAAAAAAAGCAGAGCAGAUCUUCCCAAAGACUGGUUGAAAAUAUUGGAAGAAUCCCGCCAUUUCCCAACUCGAUUUACGGUUAUCGAGGUCAAUCACACUUUUUUCCGCAGCUGGGGAAAAUUUCUUGACAAUAGUUACGCAAAAAAGUCGCCAUUCCCAUCUAGACCAAUCAGAGAAAUUGAGCUAAAUAGAGGACCUUUGAUACAGUAUCGCACUACAUAUAAUGGAUGUUGGGAGUCAGCUUCGCUGCAAGGAAAAAACCAAACGUCUUCGCGAUUAGCUGUUCGCCAUCUUCAAGACAACGAAGUUAUGCUACCUGAGUUAAGUUAUGAAGGGCAGCUUCCAAUAUCUGCUGAGAAGUUUCGAGACCUGCAGCAUUUAAAAAAGUUUUGCAACAAAGCAGCACAACAAGACUUUUUUUCAAACCUGCCGCAUCACUAAUUAACGAAUUGGAAUAUUGUUUGGAGCCUUUCGCACUAACGACGAUCGAGGUUAUGAUUACUGUGAAAGAACAGGCUCAUUUUAAUAAAAUGGACCCCUUUUUCCCCUGUCACUUUUGUACCUUUUUUGUAUGCGAUUUUAUUAUUUUUUUGUACUGAACGGAAAUACAAACAGUCUCAAAACACUUAGGGAGUUUGUGUAUUGUUUUAUCUUCACAAAAAAAAGUUAAUUGAUUGAAAAAAGCAACAUAGCGUUCCUAAGCUAGAAUUUCAACCUUAAAAUCGCUCUGCUGAAAAAUCACAAAAAUGCUCACGAGC